CGCAUUCAGUUGCCAUCGGGUAAUGCCGGGCGACUCUGGAAGGACUGCCAUCGACAAGAUGGAGGAAGGUGGGGAGUGACGUCAAGUCAUCAUGGCCCUUAUGUCCAGGGCGACACACGUGCUACAAUGGCCGGCACAGCGGGAAGCGAGGGGGCGACCUUGAGCGGAUCCCUCAAAGCCGGUCUCAGUUCGGAUUGCAGUCUGCAACUCGACUGCAUGAAGUUGGAAUCGCUAGUAAUCGUGGAUCAGCCAUGGCGCGGUGAAUACGUUCCCGGGCCUU
rnacentral:rRNA from 1 species